rnacentral:rRNA from 1 species
UACAGAGGGGGCAAGCGUUGUUCGGAAUUACUGGGCGUAAAGGGCGCGUAGGCGGCCUUCUAAGUCGAACGUGAAAUCCCCGGGCUCAACCCGGGAACUGCGUCCGAUACUGGAAGGCUUGAAUCCGGGAGAGGGAUGCGGAAUUCCAGGUGUAGCGGUGAAAUGCGUAGAUAUCAGGAGGAACACCGGUGGCGAAGGCGGGUCUCUGGGCAGUAACUGACGCUGAGGAGCGAAAGCGUGGGGAGCGAACAGG